CUUUGGCAUAGUCAAUAAAGCAGAAAUAGAUGUUUCUAGACCAUGCAGAUAUGACCUAAAUCAAAUCCCUUAUGAUUACACAGUGAAAGUGACAAAUAGAUUCAAGGGAUUAGAUCUGAUAGACAGAGUGCCUGAAGAACUAUAGAUGGAGGUUCAUGACAUUGUACAGGAGGCAGUGAUCAAGACCAUCCCCAAGAAAAAGAAAUGUAAAAAGGCAAAAUGGUUGUCUGAGGAGGCCUUACAAAUAGCUGAAAAAGGAAGAGAAGCUAAAGGCAGAGAAAAAAAGGAAAGAUAUACCCAUUUGAAUGCACAGUUCCAAAGAGCAGCAGGGAGAGAUAAGAUAGCCUUCCUCAGGGAUCAGUGCAAAGAAAUUGAAGAAAACAAUACAAUGGGAAAGACUAGAGAUCUCUUCAAGAAAAUGAGAGAUAUCAAGGGAAUAUUUCAUGCAAAGAUGGGCUCAAUAAAGGACAGAGAUGGUAUGGACCUAACAGAAGCAGAAGAUAUUAAGAAGAGGUGGCAAGAAUACACAGAAGAACUAUACAGAAAAGAUCUUCAUGACCCAGAUAACUAUGAUGGUGUGAUCACUCACCUAGAGCCAGACAUCCUGGAAUGCAAAGUCAAGUGGGCCUUAGGAAGCAUCACUACAAACAAAGCUAGUGGAGGUGAUGGAAUUCCAGUUGAGCUAUUUCAAAUCCUGAAAGAUAAUGCUGUGAAAGUGCUGCACUCAAUAUGCCAGCAAAUUUGGAAUACUCAGCAGUGGCCACAGGACUGGAAAAGGUCAGUUUUCAUUCCAAUCCCAAAGAAAGACAAUGCCAAAGAAUGUUCAAACUACUGCACAAUUGCACUUAAUCUCACACGCUAGCAAAGUAAUGCUCAGAAUUCUCCAAGUGAGGCUUCAACAGUAAGUGAACAGUGAACAUCCAGGUGCUCAGGCUGUAUUUAGAAAAGGCAGAGGAAUUAGAGAUCAAAUUGCCAACAUUCGCUGGAUCAUCGAAAAAGCAAGAGAGUUCCAGAAAAACAUCUGCUUUAUUGACUAUGCUAAAG
rnacentral:lncRNA from 1 species